rnacentral:rRNA from 1 species
UGAACGCUGGCGGCGUGCUAACACAUGCAAGUCGUAACGGAGUUUUAACGGAAGUUUCGGAUGGAAGUUAAGAACUUAGUGGCGGACGGGUGAGUAACGGCGUGGGUAACCUGCCUCAUACAGGGGGAUAACAGUUAGAAAUGACUGCUAACACCGCAUAAUAUAGUGAAACCGCAUGAUUUUGCUAUCAAAUAGUUUAUAGGUAUGAGAUGGGCCCGCGUCUGAUUAGCUAGUUGGUGGGGUAAAAGCCUACCAAGGCGACGAUCAGUAGCCGGCUUGAGAGAGUGACCGGCCACAUUGGGACUGAGACACGGCCCAAACUCCUACGGGAGGCAGCAGUGGGGAAUAUUGGACAAUGGGGGAAACCCUGAUCCAGCGACGCCCGCGUGAGUGAAGAAGUAUUUCGGUAUGUAAAGCUCUAUCAGCAGGGAAGAUAAUGACAGUACCUGACUAAGAAGCCCCGGCUAACUACGUGCCAGCAGCAGC